rnacentral:rRNA from 1 species
GUCUACAGCCAUGCCACCAUGAACAAGCCCAAUGUCUGAUCUCGGAAGCUAAGCAAGGUCGGGCCUGGUUAGUACUUGCAUGGGAGACCACCUAGGAAGACCAGGUACUGUAGGCA